rnacentral:misc_RNA from 1 species
CAAUGGUGGUGGGUCUGUUGUUCCGUCAUUUUCUUGAUCAGCUCAAGUGCAACUACUGGAAAUAAUGAAUGGGAAUCCAAACGGGGACGAGUUAAUGGGUGUAAUGCAAAGGAGCGACAUAUCAUCGUAUAGUCACCCAAUUGCAUAAAACAUGUAUAUAUUGGUUUUCAUUUGCCCAAAUGGACAAAAAUGCCAUUCAUCAAGGACGUAGGCCCAAUUGAAUCACCCACAGCCCAAAAAGAUGAUUAUUUUUGUUACAUUAGCAAAUCUUAUGACCCAAUUCCACAACCCACGGCCCAAAAGGAGCACACAUUAUUUAUUGUUAUUAUUUUUCAACAGCAAGGAGCAUACACGUUGAAGCUUCAGGCAUAAUCGUGGGUUUUAAAGAAACCCCUUGUCUUGGAAACUCUUGAUGCAUUCAUCAAACAUUUGUUGUAAUGUUUUGAAAGGAGGAAAUCCCAAUUGAGCAAUCUUUGUGGUAUCCAUGCUAUGUGGGUUGUUGUCUCCCUCCUGGCUGCUACACUCGUUCUCGUAUGGAUAAGAGGGAUAUUUGGCCCUCAGCAUCUCAAUUAUCUCUGACCAGUGAGCUACUGAGCUUGAACAAACUAGCCUGCCUGAUGCUCUGCUAUCCUCCAUUGCUAAAAUAUGAGCAGCAAUCACAUCAUUUAUGUGCACAAAACCCACAGUUGUGUUUGGAUAUUCGCCUCGCAAACCUUUAACAAUGGAAAGUAUAAGAAGCAGGCUACUUGUGGGUUGUGGGGCAAGCAAUGGACCAACAACAAAAGAGGGGUUCACCACCACUAGAUCAAUCCCUCUUUCCUUAGCUAUUCUCCAUGCCUCUUUCUCCCCUAUAGUCUUUGCGUAAGCGUACCAGAGGUUGUAGCAUUUGCAGUACUCAGGAUCGCUCCAGUGCGACUCGUUGAGGGGGCAAACUUGUUGGACAUCAUAUCGAUAUCUUAUUGAAGAGCAGGAAGAGGUCAGCACAACUCGUUUCACGCUACUAGCUUUGGCGCAGGAGGUCAGCACAUUCAUGGUUCCCUUAAUACAUGGAUCGAUCAAAGUUGCCUGAAUGUUAUCAUCAUAAGGAAAGAGAACUGGUGAUGCAGUGUGGAAGACGCCAUCAACGCCUUGGAUUGACUCAUCGAAACUUCCUUCCACCAACAAAUCGGCUUUCACUAUCUUUAAUCUCUCCUUGGCUCCGUUUAACUCUCUAAGAAAGCCAACUUUUGCAGAAUCCCCUGGAUCCCGCACGGUUGUCCUUACAGUGUGGCCCUUUUCUAGCAGGGACUUCACCAAGUAAGCUGCUAUGAACCCUGUCCCACCUGUUACACAGUAUUCUGGCAUCUCUCUCUUUCUCCCUUCCUCUCCCUCUGUGCUUUGCAAGAGAAAGAAACAAGUGAGUUAGUUUUGCGCAGAGAAAGAACGGAAAAAUCUCAUUUGCUCUGAUUUUCUUUUCCUCUUGCGGGCGUGAAUAGAAAAUGGGC